UACGAAGGGGGCUAGCGUUGCUCGGAAUCACUGGGCGUAAAGGGUGCGUAGGUGGUUCUUUAAGUCUGCUGUGAAAUCCCCGGGCUUAACCUGGGAAUGGCAUUCGGGACUGCAAGGCUGGAGUGCGGCAGAGGAGACGUGGAAUUCCUGGUGUAGCAGUGAAAUGCGUAGAUAUCAGGAGGAACACCGAUGGCGAAGGCAGGUCUCUGGGCUGACACUGACGCUCAUGCACGAA
rnacentral:rRNA from 1 species